rnacentral:rRNA from 1 species
GACGAACGCUGGCGGCGUGCUUAACACAUGCAAGUCGAACGGAAAGGCCCUGCUUUUGUGGGGUGCUCGAGUGGCGAACGGGUGAGUAACACGUGAGUAACCUGCCCUUGACUUUGGGAUAACUUCAGGAAACUGGGGCUAAUACCGGAUAGGAGCUCCUGCUGCAUGGUGGGGGUUGGAAAGUUUCGGCGGUUGGGGAUGGACUCGCGGCUUAUCAGCUUGUUGGUGGGGUAGUGGCUUACCAAGGCUUUGACGGGUAGCCGGCCUGAGAGGGUGACCGGCCACAUUGGGACUGAGAUACGGCCCAGUCUCCUACGGGCGGCAGCAGUGGGGAAUAUUGCACAAUGGGCGGAAGCCUGAUGCAGCAACGCCGCGUGCGGGAUGACGGCCUUCGGGUUGUAAACCGCUUUCGCCUGUGACGAAGCGUGAGUGACGGUAAUGGGUAAAGAAGCACCGGCUAACUACGUG